CAAACCGCUCUGACUCCGAAGACAAUUACGUUUUGCGCAUGGUUGCGCAAAGAACAACAUUGAUUUAUUUCAUGGGGCAGAUAACAGCAAUAUAGCUUUGAAACAAUGCGUUCAUAUUCUUUUCGAUGUGUCUUUCUUGGUUGACGAUUCCCUCCAAAUUCCGACAAGGGCAAGGAAAGCCUCGCUUCCGUGGAGAGGGCUUAUCACAGAGUUGUUUCCCCUUGCGGGAUUUUGUGCUCUGAGCUGGUACAAGACAUGUGGCUGUCAAAUUUCAUAUUUUACUAGGGCGCUUGAGUGUCUGUACUUAUUCUUGGCCUGUUCACCCCUUAAUUCUGCUGAAAGAAUUGCAUCUCAAAUUAAUGUCUACCAGGCUUUAGGUCAGAUAAGGCUGAUCGUCUUGGUGUUCUUGUCACCACGAUUUCUCUUGCUGUCUUGGGCUAAAUUUGGCAUUUCAUUUUAAGUUUAACACCAGACUUUCUGUUUGACAAGCCUACUCGUAUCACGGUCACCCGUUGUUAAAUGAUGUACAAAGGCUAUUUUGCAAUGGCCUGAUUACAUGUGAAACGAAAGAUUCAUCAUGUAAGGUAAUCCUUCAAUUUAACGCCGGCAUGUUUUCCCCUACUUGCACACGUCAUUAUGAAAUUUCACAUCAACUUCGCCUUGUGCAUGUAUUUUUGUUCCAGCUGCUCUUACUUUUCAUUCAUAAAUUGUCUGGUGGACUUCGGUUUUGAUAGCUUACACUCUCCUGUAUUUUUGCAUUUAAUACAGCAAUUUUAGAAAUUCACCCGGGCAUUGGCGUUGCUGGUGGAGCGCUUUUCUGAAGAAGAAGAAGAAAAAAUAUAUUUUCAUGUUGACGCGUAGCUACAAAUAUAGCAUAUCCUUCACAUGAACUUGAAGCUGAUAAAAUGUUGUGUAAGCCAUAAACCAUCCACUGUUAGUAAUAGUGAGUAUAUUGGCAGUGAGAGAGGAAAACCUAAUAUUGGUGGAACUGAAUGUUUUCAUUGAAUUCAAACCAGUUUGUAUGAGGUACUUACAUACUGGGUAGCCACUUGUAGUUUGUCCAAAAGAUCUGUUAAUUCUUUUAGCUAGAAUGAAUGUGCAGGUGUUAAUAUAACAUUUGUAACUUAUGAUGAAACUCUUGUGAAUAUUAUCAUCUGAUUGUUCAAUUUAUCAAUUGUUGUUGUUGUUUUGGGGGUUUUUUUUGCCAGUGGGAAGGCCAGUGACCAGUUUGUAAUCACCAUGACAGAUUCCAUGAUGACUACAAUGUCAGGCUCUCCAGUUGAUAAGAUCUCACCUCAUGCUGAACCUACUGAUGUCUGUGACACACCUCUGCAACCAAAAGAUGGACAGUGUGCCUUUUAUGUGCUAAGGAAGAAAAGAUUUUGUCGAUUUCCUCCUCAUUCUGGCAAGAGAUACUGCGCAGAACAUGCUGUUUUUGCUGGGGUUGAUCUGGGAAGAAAGAGAGUGCAGUGCCCUCUGAACCCAAAACACACCUGUUACGAAGACAGCUUGCAUAAGCAUCUCAAGAAAUGUGUAAAAAUGGCAAAGAAUAUAAAUAUAUACUAUGAGGAAGGAAUCAAUGCUGGUGAUGCUGAUGGUGAUGAUGUCCCUGAGCAGAAAUUUACAGUCAAGCAAGCCACAAGGGAGGAGGUUCUAGAAUUCAUUAAGAGGGUGAAUCAGUUACAUAAAGAAUAUAUUGGUGAUAUAACCCUGGAAGAUCUAACCCAUGAAUCUCUAAAGGAGGAGUUAUCUGCCCCAAGCUAUGGUUUUAAAGUGAUGAGACAGAGGAGACAACAGGCUUCUCUGAUUGGUCAUCUACAGCAGAUGGGAUUCCUUACAGAUGGUCUGUGUUAUGUGGAACUGGGAGCCGGCAGGGGUGAAUUUGCACACUGGGUACAACUAGCCAUGGACACCUGUAAUGACAGCUCUUUUGUACUGGUUGAUAAGGGAACAUGUAGAUACAAAUUUGAUAGUUUUCACAAAGGAGAGCAUCAAGGACCAACAUUUGAGAGACUUCAAGUCAACCUGGCUGACAUUAACUUGGGAAAGGUACCAUCCAUUUCUGUCAGUAAGCGUCCUGUACUGGGGAUGGGUAAACACCUAUGUGGGGAUGCUACAGACUUGGCACUAAGGUGUCUCACCCAGACACUGACAGUAGGGCCAGCAGAACACAACAGCUGUAACAGUAGAGUGCCCCUGGAGGGACUAGCUAUAGCUCUGUGCUGUCACCACCGUUGUUCAUGGCCGAGCUACGUGGGCAAGCCGUUUAUCCGUGAACAGUGUGGUAUGAGUGUUGCAGAGUUCCAGCUUCUGUCCAAUAUGACUAGCUGGGCUACGUGUUCAUGGGAAGGCUGGAAGAAACACGGUACAUUCCAACAAAUUUCCCAGAGAAUCAACCAAAGAUAGCAGUAGUUCGGAUGGAGUACAGGAUAUGGUUUCCAUAGGAGCAGGAGACCAACACGAGAACACAAACCAAACUGAACACCAUCAGAGAGAAUUUCAGUCAUCAAAUGGUUUUGAGAAACUUGACAUUGGUUUGACCUUGGAGGAGAGAGAGAAUCUUGGGAGGAAAUGCAAACAGUUGAUUGACAAAGGGCGUGUCUUGUAUCUCCAAGACAACAAGAUGACAGCAGUACUCAAGGCUUACAUUGACCAAUCAUACA